AAAUUCCUUGUCGGGUAAGUUCCGACCCGCACGAAAGGUGUAACGACUUGGGCACUGUCUCAACGAGGGACCCGGUGAAAUUGAAGUACCUGUGAAGAUGCAGGUUACCCGCGACUGGACAGAAAGCCCCCAUGGAGCUUUACUGCAACCUAAGAUUGAACUUAGUUAAUGAAUGUACAGGAUAGGUGGGAGACGUAGAAUCUAGGACGCCAGUUUUAGAGGAGUCGCUGUUGGGAUACCACCCUUUCAUUAAUUGAUUUCUAACGGGCCGAGUAACGACCGGCCGGACAGUCUUAGGCGGGCAGUUUGACUGGGGCGGUCGCCUCCAAAAGAGUAACGGAGGCGCCCAAAGGUUCCCUCAGAAUGGUUGGAAAUCAUUUGCAGAGUGUAAAGGCACAAGGGAGCUUGACUGUGAGACAUACAAGUCGAGCAGGUGCGAAAGCAGGACUUAGUGAUCCGGUGGUUCCGCAUGGAAGGGCCAUCGCUCAACGGAUAAAAGCUACCCUGGGGAUAACAGGCUUAUCUCCCCCAAGAGUUCACAUCGACGGGGAGGUUUGGCACCUCGAUGUCGGCUCAUCGCAUCCUGGGGCUGUAGUCGGUCCCAAGGGUUGGGCUGUUCGCCCAUUAAAGCGGUACGCGAGCUGGGUUCAGAACGUCGUGAGACAGUUCGGUCCCUAUCCGUCGCGGGCGUAGGAAAUUUGAGAGGAUCUGCUCCUAGUACGAGAGGACCAGAGUGGACUUACCGCUGGUGUACCAGUUGUCUUGCCAAAGGCAUCGCUGGGUAGCUAUGUAGGGAAGGGAUAAACGCUGAAAGCAUCUAAGUGUGAAACCCACCUCAAGAUGAGAUUUCCCAUGAUUUUAUAUCAGUAAGAGCCCUGAGAGAUGAUCAGGUAGAUAGGUUAGAAGUGGAAGUGUGGCGACACAUGUAGCGGACUAAUACUAAUAGCUCGAGGACUUAUCCAAA
rnacentral:rRNA from 1 species